UGGGGAAUUUUGGACAAUGGGCGAAAGCCUGAUCCAGCAAUGCCGCGUGUGUGAAGAAGGCCUUCGGGUUGUAAAGCACUUUUGUCCGGAAAGAAAUCCUUGGCUCUAAUACAGUCGGGGGAUGACGGUACCGGAAGAAUAAGCACCGGCUAACUACGUGCCAGCAGCCGCGGUAAUACGUAGGGUGCAAGCGUUAAUCGGAAUUACUGGGCGUAAAGCGUGCGCAGGCGGUUUGCUAAGACCGAUGUGAAAUCCCCGGGCUCAACCUGGGAACUGCAUUGGUGACUGGCAGGCUAGAGUAUGGCAGAGGGGGGUAGAAUUCCACGUGUAGCAGUGAAAUGCGUAGAGAUGUGGAGGAAUACCGAUGGCGAAGGCAGCCCCCUGGGCCAAUACUGACGCUCAUGCACGAAAGCGUGGGGAGCAAACAGGAUUAGAUACCCUGGUAAUCCACGCCCUAAACGAUGUCAACUAGUUGUUGGGGAUUCAUUUCCUUAGUAACGUAGCUAACGCGUGAAGUUGACCGCCUGGGGAGUACGGUCGCAAGAUUAAAACUCAAAUGAAUUGACGGG
rnacentral:rRNA from 1 species